GGUGGCUCAAUAGUAGAGCGCUUGCCUUGUAUGCAUGAGGCCCUGGGUUCGAUUCCUUAGCACCA
rnacentral:tRNA from 1 species